GUAGGGAAUAUUGCGCAAUGGGGGAAACCCUGACGCAGCGACGCCGCGUGAGUGAUGAAGGCCUUCGGGUUGUAAAGCUCUGUGGGGAGGGAAGAAAAAGCGGGAGAGUAACUGCUCUCGUGUUGACGGUACCUCCUUAGCAAGCACCGGCUAACUCUGUGCCAGCAGCCGCGGUAAUACAGAGGGUGCAAACGUUGCUCGGAAUUACUGGGCGUAAAGCGCGUGUAGGCUGACAUGCAAGUCGGGUGUGAAAUCCCAGGGCUCAACCUUGGAACUGCACUCGAAACUGCACGUCUUGAGUACUGGAGAGGGAAGCGGAAUUCCGGGUGUAGAGGUGAAAUUCGUAGAUAUCCGGAGGAACACCAGUGGCGAAGGCGGCUUCCUGGACAGUAACUGACGCUGAGACGCGAAAGCGUGGGGAGCAAACAGGAUUAGAAACCCCGGUAGUCC
rnacentral:rRNA from 1 species